UGACCCUAACGGGUCACCUAGCCAACUGACGUUGUUAGUGAAUACGAUAUUCACGAAAUUACAGCCAAUAGAGACGAUUUCUAUUGGCUAUUUUUUU
rnacentral:sRNA from 1 species